CUUGAGAAGGAGUGUUUUUCGGUUGCUGCUACCUCUGUAAAGCAUUGACAAUGGAGGCAGAUCUGUUCAGACACAGCCAAGUAUUAGAUUUUCUGUACUGGAUUCCUGGGAUGAGGGCAAACGAAUGUCAAAUGCCAUUAAAGGCAAUGGAUAGAGCCACAAAUCAGAUGGUACGAUGUUGUGCAUUAGACAUAAGUAAACUGUGGAAAAGAUCAAAAAUGCUGUGUAAUCAUUAGUGUACUUUUGUUGAGUUCACUUGGAGUUAAUCUGUGAGGGAGUGAUGAUGAAUAGCUGGAAUUUUCCAUGUGAAAUUGAGUGCGUUGGCACAGAACAUUGCUAAUAAAUUUGCCUAUUAAA